rnacentral:rRNA from 1 species
GUCGAGCGGACAGAAGGGAGCUUGCUCCCGGAUGUUAGCGGCGGACGGGUGAGUAACACGUGGGUAACCUGCCUGUAAGACUGGGAUAACUCCGGGAAACCGGAGCUAAUACCGGAUAGUUCCUUGAACCGCAUGGUUCAAGGAUGAAAGACGGUUUCGGCUGUCACUUACAGAUGGACCCGCGGCGCAUUAGCUAGUUGGUGAGGUAACGGCUCACCAAGGCGACGAUGCGUAGCCGACCUGAGAGGGUGAUCGGCCACACUGGGACUGAGACACGGCCCAGACUCCUACGGGAGGCAGCAGUAGGGAAUCUUCCGCAAUGGACGAAAGUCUGACGGAGCAACGCCGCGUGAGUGAUGAAGGUUUUCGGAUCGUAAAGCUCUGUUGUUAGGGAAGAACAAGUGCAAGAGUAACUGCUUGCACCUUGACGGUACCUAACCAGAAAGCCACGGCUAACUACGUGCCAGCAGCCGCGGUAAUACGUAGGUGGCAAGCGUUGUCCGGAAUUAUUGGGCGUAAAGGGCUCGCAGGCGGUUUCUUAAGUCUGAUGUGAAAGCCCCCGGCUCAACCGGGGAGGGUCAUUGGAAACUGGGAAACUUGAGUGCAGAAGAGGAGAGUGGAAUUCCACGUGUAGCGGUGAAAUGCGUAGAGAUGUGGAGGAACACCAGUGGCGAAGGCGACUCUCUGGUCUGUAACUGACGCUGAGGAGCGAAAGCGUGGGGAGCGAACAGGAUUAGAUACCCUGGUAGUCCACGCCGUAAACGAUGAGUGCUAAGUGUUAGGGGGUUUCCGCCCCUUAGUGCUGCAGCUAACGCAUUAAGCACUCCGCCUGGGGAGUACGGUCGCAAGACUGAAACUCAAAGGAAUUGACGGGGGCCCGCACAAGCGGUGGAGCAUGUGGUUUAAUUCGAAGCAACGCGAAGAACCUUACCAGGUCUUGACAUCCUCUGACAACCCUAGAGAUAGGGCUUUCCCUUCGGGGACAGAGUGACAGGUGGUGCAUGGUUGUCGUCAGCUCGUGUCGUGAGAUGUUGGGUUAAGUCCCGCAACGAGCGCAACCCUUGAUCUUAGUUGCCAGCAUUCAGUUGGGCACUCUAAGGUGACUGCCGGUGACAAACCGGAGGAAGGUGGGGAUGACGUCAAAUCAUCAUGCCCCUUAUGACCUGGGCUACACACGUGCUACAAUGGACAGAACAAAGGGCUGCGAGACCGCAAGGUUUAGCCAAUCCCACAAAUCUGUUCUCAGUUCGGAUCGCAGUCUGCAACUCGACUGCGUGAAGCUGGAAUCGCUAGUAAUCGCGGAUCAGCAUGCCGCGGUGAAUAC